rnacentral:rRNA from 1 species
AGUGAACGCUGGCGGUAGGCCUAACACAUGCAAGUCGAACGGCAGCACAGUAAGAGCUUGCUCUUACGGGUGGCGAGUGGCGGACGGGUGAGGAAUACAUCGGAAUCUACUUUUUCGUGGGGGAUAACGUAGGGAAACUUACGCUAAUACCGCAUACGACCUACGGGUGAAAGCAGGGGAUCUUCGGACCUUGCGCGAUUGAAUGAGCCGAUGUCGGAUUAGCUAGUUGGCGGGGUAAAGGCCCACCAAGGCGACGAUCCGUAGCUGGUCUGAGAGGAUGAUCAGCCACACUGGAACUGGGACACGGUCCAGACUCCUACGGGAGGCAGCAGUGGGGAAUAUUGGACAAUGGGCGCAAGCCUGAUCCAGCCAUACCGCGUGGGUGAAGAAGGCCUUCGGGUUGUAAAGCCCUUUUGUUAGGAAAGAAAAGCAGCAGGUUAAUACCCCGCUGUUCUGACGGUACCCAAAGAAUAAGCACCGGCUAACUUCGUG